rnacentral:rRNA from 1 species
GACGUAGGGGGCAAGCGUUGUCCGGAAUUAUUGGGCGUAAAGCGCUCGUAGGCGGAUCGGUAAGUCUGUGAAGAAAGACCCGGGCUCAACUCGGGGAACGGCAUAGAUACUGCUGAUCUUGAGACAGUCAGAGGAUGAUGGAAUUCCAGGUGUAGCGGUGAAAUGCGUAGAUAUCUGGAGGAACGCCCGUGGCGAAAGCGAGGUCCUGGACGUUUUCUGACGCUGAGACGCGAAAGCCAGGGGAGCGAACGGG